AUGGAAGUUCCAGCUCAGCUCCUCUCCUUUCUGGUACUCUGGCUCCCAGAAGUUGUGCUGACAUGGUCCCCAAUCACCCUGUGUUUGUCCCCAGGGGAAGGAGCCACCCUCACCUGAAAGGCCAGUCAGAUCAUUGACAACUAUUCAGCCUGGGACCAGUAGAAACCUGUUCUGGUUCCCAGGCUCCUUAUUUAUAGGGCAUCUACCAAGGCUACCAGCAUCCCAGCCCGGUUCAGUGGUGGUGGGCCUGAGGCAGACUUUACCCCAACCAUCAACAGCCUAGACCCUGAAGA
rnacentral:lncRNA from 1 species